rnacentral:misc_RNA from 1 species
CGCACCUUGCACCCCUUGGCAUUCCGAGGGGUACACCUGUCUGAGUGUCGUGAAUUCCUCCACCUCCGGCUGUUUUCGGCCGCGAGGAUGGGAUUUGGGGGCUUGCGGGUUUCCCUACGCGGGUCCGCUCCCCUUGAAUGCAUCAGUGAAGACCCCCGCGUCCUCGGUGUGAUAGACAUCUACGCCCGGGAAGCGGGAACAGGACUUUGCUUCCAACCGUCUUCGGACACGCUUCGAACUUGACCUCAGAUCAGGUGGGACUACCCGCUGAACUUAA